CCUACGGGAGGCAGCAGUGAGGAAUAUUGGUCAAUGGCCGUAAGGCUGAACCAGCCAAGUCGCGUGAAGGAAGAAGGAUCUAUGGUUUGUAAACUUCUUUUAUAGGGGAAUAAAGGUAUCCACGUGUGGAUAUUUGCAUGUACCCUAUGAAUAAGCAUCGGCUAACUCCGUGCCAGCAGCCGCGGUAAUACGGAGGAUGCGAGCGUUAUCCGGAUUUAUUGGGUUUAAAGGGUGCGUAGGUUGUUUUUUAAGUCAGCGGUGAAAGUUUGUGGCUCAACCAUAAAAUUGCCGUUGAAACUGGAAGACGUGAGUGUGUUUGAGGUAGGCGGAAUGCGUGGUGGAGCGGUGAAAUGCAUAGAUAUCACGCAGAACUCCGAUUGCGAAGGCAGCUUACUAAGCCAUAACUGACACUGAAGCACGAAAGCGUGGGGAUCAAACAGGAUUAGAUACCCCUGUAGUC
rnacentral:rRNA from 1 species